rnacentral:misc_RNA from 1 species
UCCGGGUUGGUCCCGGCGGUCCCGCCAGACGUGGUAACUGGCGGCGGGGGUUGCGCUCGUUGCGGGACUUAACCCAACACCUCACGGCACGAGCUGACGACAGCCGUGCAGCACCUGUGCACGCUCCCUCGCGGGUCCCUCGGGUUUCCCCUCGGUACCACGUGCAUGUCAAGCCCGGGUAAGGUUCUUCGCGUUGCAUCGAAUUAAACCACACGCUCCGCUGCUUGUGCGGGCCCCCGUCAAUUCCUUUGAGUUUUAGCCUUGCGGCCGUAGUCCCCAGGCGGGGUGCUUACUGCGUUGGCGACGGCACCGGGGGGGUCGAUACCCCCGACACCUAGCACCCAUCGUUUACGGCGUGGACUAC